rnacentral:rRNA from 1 species
GACGAACGCUGGCGGCGUGCUUAACACAUGCCAGUCGAACGGAAAGGCCCUGCUUUUGUGGGGUGCUCGAGUGGCGAACGGGUGAGUAACACGUGAGUAACCUGCCCUUGACUUUGGGAUAACUUCAGGAAACUGGGGCUAAUACCGGAUAGGAGCUCCUGCUGCAUGGUGGGGGUUGGAAAGUUUCGGCAGUUGGGGAUGGACUCGCGGCUUAUCAGCUUGUUGGUGGGGUAGUGGCUUACCAAGGCUUUGACGGGUAGCCGGCCUGAGAGGGUGACCGGCCACAUUGGGACUGAGAUACGGCCCAGACUCCUACGGGAGGCAGCAGUGGGGAAUAUUGCACAAUGGGCGGAAGCCUGAUGCAGCAACGCCGCGUGCGGGAUGACGGCCUUCGGGUUGUAAACCGCUUUCGCCUGUGACGAAGCGUGAGUGACGGUAAUGAGUAAAGAAGCACCGGCUAACUACGUG